AGGUGUCGUAUAUCGUGGAUCUA
rnacentral:siRNA from 1 species